rnacentral:rRNA from 1 species
UACCUGCAGUCGGACGGUAGCACAGAGAGCUUGCUCUCGGGUGACGAGUGGCGGACGGGUGAGUAAUGUCUGGGGAUCUGCCCGAUAGAGGGGGAUAACCACUGGAAACGGUGGCUAAUACCGCAUAACGUCGCAAGACCAAAGAGGGGGACCUUCGGGCCUCUCACUAUCGGAUGAACCCAGAUGGGAUUAGCUAGUAGGCGGGGUAAUGGCCCACCUAGGCGACGAUCCCUAGCUGGUCUGAGAGGAUGACCAGCCACACUGGAACUGAGACACGGUCCAGACUCCUACGGGAGGCAGCAGUGGGGAAUAUUGCACAAUGGGCGCAAGCCUGAUGCAGCCAUGCCGCGUGUAUGAAGAAGGCCUUCGGGUUGUAAAGUACUUUCAGCGGGGAGGAAGGCGGUGAGGUU